CGAGACAUGGAACACAAGCAGGAGGAGUGGGAGAGGGAGAGGCAGGCUCCCCACCAAGCAGGAAGCCCAGGUGGGGCUCGAUCCCAGGACCCCAGGAUCAUGUCAUGAGCUGAAGACAGAUGCCUAAUAAGACAGACGCCAAUAAGUCUCCAAUUAAACAUCUUAUUACCACUGGAUUCCUAAGCAGAAUAUACACUUAAUGAUAUGCAUAAAUCAGAUAUAUUUGAAUUAAAUGAACAGAAAGGGCUCAAACUAAUGACCUCAAGAUCAAGAGUCAUAUCACAUGCUCUGCCCACUGAACCAGCCAGAUGCCCCUUAUUUUACUUAUUUUUUAAAAAGCUUCGAUUGUUUGGAAUGAAGACAGGAAUGACAAAAUAAGACACAUAGGUAAAUUCUCUACAAGUAUUUGCUUACCUGAGUUGAUGUAACAUCAUCUUGAUUUUGCAGGCGAGGAAAUUAUAGGUCUAACCAUUCUACCCAUGUUUGCAGAGUUAAUAAGCAAACACACUGUAAGACCUGUCAAAGACAAUCUCCCUUCACUGUUCAGCCUGCUGUUCUGCAGUAUAGACCUGAAUGAACUCAGCUGACACACUCCCAAAAGGUUAGGCAUAUUGCCUGUUGUCAGAUUUACCCUAUCAGCUCUUUUUUUUUU
rnacentral:lncRNA from 1 species